rnacentral:lncRNA from 1 species
AGUUAGAACCCUUAAUGACUUGACGGAAGUUGAUUGGAUCAUCUUCCUCAAGUCCAAUAUCACUUUCUUGUUCUUGGAGAAAUACAACAUAAUAAUCCGAAAUUGCAUUUCUCCUUUCUCUAGUGGAUCUCCUUAAUAGCACUUCAGUUUCUUGAGGUUGUUGAGUUUGAUUUUCAUUAGUAGUAUCGGGAACUUGAUUGGGGAGAUUUUCGAGAUUGUCUUGAACUGGAGUUGUGUGAUAUCCGUGUCACGAAUGAGAACACCCUGACCAAGAUCAACAACUUGAGGGAAAGACACAUGUUCUUCGUCAAAGACAAAAUCUCUAAUAACUUUAUCUCCCCACCCCCCCAAACUCAAUAUCCU